rnacentral:rRNA from 1 species
UACGGAGGGUGCAAGCGUUAGUCCGGAUUCACUGGGUUUAAAGGGUGCGUAGGUGGGUUUGAUAAGUCAGUGGUGGAAAUCUCCGUGCUUAAACAUGGAAACUGCCAUUCGAUACUAUAGAUCUUGAAUUUUCUGGAGGAUAGCGGAAUAUGUCAUGUAGCGGAUGAAAUGCUUAGAUAUGACAUAGAACACCAAAUUGCGAAGGCAGCUAUCUACAGGGAUAUUGACACUGAGGCACGAAAGCGUGGGGAUCAAACAGG